rnacentral:misc_RNA from 1 species
ACAAAUCGGUUAAAUGGCUUUCUUCCAACUGUUGCAGGCAUAGAGACAGUUGAAUCCACGCUCAAAUUAAGUGACUCAUGUUUAUCUAAAACCCUUUGAGAACUUGAAUCCUUGUUAGAGAAUGAGGACCCUUUGUUCCACUUGAAUGAUCCAACGCCUUGUGUCAAAGGGAAUGAAAGCCUCCUCUUUUCACUGCUUGGGGUCCCUGGAAACCUCUCCUUGGGAUUACUAUUAGCUCUAGCUUUGGCUUUGGCUGAAACUGUAGAAACCAUGUAGUUUGGCACUAAAAAGGGUGGGCAACUAGUCAGGCUAUCAUCAUCCUUCAAUGGUAAGUCGAAAGGGGAUUCAGCUCCACUAGUUCUCGCUCUUGAAUAUUUUGACAAGCCUGAGGUGUUUGCUUGUGGAGUUCUUUGUACAGGAGUUCGUGCUUGUCUCGUCGACACAAAUGCAACUGAUUUACUGGAUC